ACCUUUCGCGCAGCGUAUGUAAACCGUAAUCGUAUCUAUUCUUUUUACAGGUAGUCGCGAGAUACCAUAGCUCCCAUGCGAAGGACCGGUCUUACGAAGCAGGCAGAAACAUCCCGAUCAGCGCCGGAAGCGGAAUAACAGCUUGCGCGCGCGCACAGUAGAGAGAUACUGCGAGACAAUAAAUAAAAGCGUGAUUCCCAUCGACCAAAUUCCACGCGGAGAAAGUUUCUAAGAAAUCAGACGACCACUCAAGACUGAUCCCACAACGCGCGCGCCUUUAUCGCGCUGAGAUUUUUCAAGCUGGCACGACGACAUACAACUACCAGCAGCGCGGUGCAGCGCUGACGCAUUUCAUUAAACGGGCAUUGAUUCCCUUAUCUAUCAAAAUGACGAAGAAAAUAAUCAAGAGUCCAUUAACUACAGGACUAUUCUCGAUAAUGAGGUAGCAGUAAUUAAUCGCAGAGAAUUCUUAAAAUAUUUGCUUAAUAUAUUCCAUGCAAAAAAAAAACACUGUAAAAACCAUGUUGGCAUCUUUUUGUUCUCGAACAGCGAGUUUCACGUAUCAGAAUUUAUUAAGGAUGCUGUAUGCAUUUAACUAAAACUGUAUCUAGGGUAUGCAUACGACAGUACAAUAACAUGUUGACAAAAAUACGUGUACAAAAAGAUCGCAAGACACUUUCCACGCGUAAAUUUUAGAUGUCAACUAAUCGUUAUGACGUUAAGUAUUAACAUGCGCUAUAAAUUCAGCGAGCGCAGAAAGGCGCCGAUGGGCUACAACGUGCUCGCAGAUCGAAUGGAUAAAAAUCUCUGCCGGGAAAACCACGGGGUAUUUACUAAAUCUAGGCGAACGUACAGGAGUUUCAACGAGCCCGGCGCUUAAACACUGCGGCGUUACAUAAUCCUGCGGGAUUAACCGUGCUCCCGCGGGAUUAACUCUCGGAGACGGAUUGACGGUGCUCGAGUGACUCGCUCUUCGAGUUCGUUUGACUGGCCGAAAAUAUUAAAUUAUAAUAAUCGAUAUCGUGCGCGGCGCUACUCCCGCCUUCGCUCUCGUCAUAUUCCUGUCAGCCAGUUAUCUCUUGCCAUUUUGACAUGAAAACUUGAAACAUCGCUUCCCGUUCUGGAGGAGCUCCUCGUAUUACGUAUAUGCGGCACAAAGACCGUUUCGUUUUCCCUUGAGGAAAAAUCGCGGUUUUCAUAUUUUCAUUGCUGGAAGAGCGUUGAUUAACUUAAGUCGCAGUCGCGAUUGGGACCCGCCAGGAAAAUUAUCCGAGAUAGCGAUCGUUAAUUAAGGUUUAUUAGCAGGGGUGAGCGUGGAAAGCGAGCUGCCCAACGAGCAAUCUCGCGUCCUGUCAAUCCAUUUUAAUUAAUUUACAUGUACACAAUAUUGGAGUAAAUUCCUGACGUAAUAACUUGGCCGGUGCUGUAUUGAUACGACAUUAAGAUAAUUUACGUAAUUUAUCUCUGUACAUUGCAACAUAACUCUGCAAUUUAGUAUUUGUAAUUGAUUAUAGGCUCAUUACAAUUAUUAUUGUUUUAUUUUAUUAUUUUGUUUCGUUGAUCAUUACUGUGUGCAAUAUAUCACCUGUAUUAAUAAUUCCCUGCCUUCAUAAUAGAGAUUGAAAUAAUCACACCGUCAAAUUAGGGUUAGGGUGUAAAAGAGAAAAAAAAUCUAUUGUUAAAAUGGUAAAAUAAAAAUUCUAUUCUUUUAUGAAGAA